CCCCCCACCCGCACCAACCUCGCGGAAACCCUAGGCGAGCGGCAGCCUCCUCCGAUCCCCUCUCCCCGAUCUCUAUAAAACACCGCGGAUUUCGAAUUCUGUCUUCCCCGCGGGAAUCACACCGGCGCCUCCUCCCUCGGCGCGCCCGGACCGGGCUCCUCCCGCGGGGCCGGGGCUGGUACCAGGGGCGGCGGCGGGGGGCGGUGGAUGGCGGAGGCGGCUCUGGAGGGGAGCGAGCCGGUGGAUCUGACCAAGCACCCCUCCGGCAUCAUCCCCACGCUCCAGAAUAUUGUGUCGACGGUCAACCUGGACUGUAAAUUGGACCUGAAAGCAAUAGCUCUCCAGGCACGAAAUGCAGAGUAUAACCCCAAGCGUUUUGCUGCAGUUAUCAUGCGGAUAAGAGAACCAAAAACUACCGCAUUGAUAUUUGCUUCAGGAAAAAUGGUUUGCACUGGAGCAAAAAGUGAACAGCAAUCUAAACUUGCAGCUAGAAAGUAUGCUCGUAUAAUCCAGAAGCUUGGCUUUCCUGCAAAAUUCAAGGACUUCAAGAUCCAGAAUAUUGUUGCCUCUUGUGAUGUCAAAUUCCCUAUCAGGCUUGAGGGCCUCGCAUAUUCCCAUGGCGCUUUCUCAAGUUAUGAGCCAGAGCUAUUUCCUGGUCUGAUUUACCGGAUGAGGCAGCCAAAGAUUGUCCUCCUAAUUUUUGUUUCUGGCAAGAUUGUUCUGACUGGAGCAAAGGUGAGAGAAGAGACAUACACUGCCUUCGAGAACAUAUAUCCUGUCCUGACGGAGUUCAGAAAAGUGCAGCAAUGAUGGUAUAAUUCCUGAGAGUGCAUGUUUAAUGGACAUUGCUAUGUUGGGAAUAGGAUAGGAAAUGCCAUGUUCCAUUGACAAGUUGGGCCACUAAAGGUGGAUUUGUCCCUUUUGCUGCUCAGUGCCUCUGGUGCUUGUUCUAUUUUUGUUUGCGGUGUUUCCUGGACUGCGAUGAGUGGCUACUUUCAGAAACUAGUAGUGCGGACGCCGUCUCUUCUGUGUGCAGGUGACUUUUUAAGUACGCAGAAUUGGAGAUAUUGUUGCUUGCUGCCAGCUCCAACCUCACAAAGUCUAGGCAUAGCCUGUCUUCCGGUGGAACCUAUAUAUAUAUUACUGUCCAUCAGAUUUAAAGUACCUGUUGUCGUAAUCGACUAGGGUCUUCUUUUUGUGAUGGAUCAUGGUUGAUCAUCGCAGGGCCUAUUCUGUCAUCGUUCCUCACUCAAAACCCUCUUGUGGAAGUUGAGUAAAACCCAAGCAAAUUUUGCUCCUGGAUACUAGAGCCUUUUUCUCCUUGAUGACUUGAUGAUGAAAAGGCCAGCUGAUGUAUAUGUACUUGUAGACGCGUUUGCGCCCUGUUAAAAAGAGGGCUUCAUGUCGAGCCAGAUAGCAAGAGG
rnacentral:rRNA from 1 species